CGCUCACGCUGUUCGCGGUCGAGAUGAUCGCGCUGCUGCCGGUGGCGCUCGUCACGCUCGCGGCGCUCGGCACGCCGGUGGGCGGCCA
rnacentral:tRNA from 1 species